UUGAAUAGUAGAAUCAGUACAAAUCAAUGCAUUUCUAUCGUUGCAAAUCAUUGCAAAUCACCGCAAACGAACAAGAUUAAUCUCGCAUUCCAUCCGUGCUAAUUCCUAAUAGUAAAUCACCUCCAAACCAACAGGGUGUUAAGGUCAAUCUAAUAUUGUCCUUCGAAUCCUACUUACUGCACCCCAGGUUUUUACUUCUGCACCUCCCUAACUUUUGAAAAUAUCCAUUCUACCCUUCAGUGAAUAGUAAAAUGAAAUCCUAAUUAUACAAUUCACUUUUUCACUCUUCUUCACCUUGUGUCUGCUUCGUCUUCACUUCCUCUGCACCUCUCUCCCACGGCUGUUGCAAAUCUGUGCACCUCCAUUGGGGUUUUUAAUCAAAAGUUUCCGUCCUCCACUCAUAAGCAUCGCGAGUGAACCUGUAUCUCCUCUCUUGCUUUCGUUUUCUUGUAGUUGCCCCUCCUCUUCGUGUUCGUGUAGGUGUGGUGUUCGAGUGUUGCUGAAAGGCUUUUUUUGAGAGAAGGUAGGCGGUCAGAGAACUGCACCUCCAAAAGUGGUUCGCUGCAUCUGCGUGUCUUCCCUUUCGUUCUUUUAUAAGGAUUAUGGCAAGGACAAGAGGUGCCGAUACCGUAGGUGAAGGCAGUAGUGGCGUUGAAAGACAAAGACCCGUGGCAUCAAUUCGAAGAAGGAAUCAUUGUGAAGCUCUUGAUAUAGACCUCGUUAGCUGAUCCUGCUGUAGUGGAUUCUGUAGGUGUAGGUGGAGGUGAGGCUGUAGUUGUAGAACAACCGGCAUUAAGGGUGAAGAGGUUAAAGAACGAUUUGUUGGAGGUCCAUUGGAUACUUCUCUACUAGUGGACUAUGUUGAUCAUGUGGCAUUGAAGAUAUGGAAUGGGGAGAUUAGUAAAUAUAAUUAAGUUUGAUGUUGUUUUGAUGGUAUUGCAUUUUAUAUAGUUUGACAAAUACACUAUGUGUAGGACCGAGGAGAACUGAAAUUGGUGUCUCGUGGAAGAAAGUCGAGUAAACUAGAUAUUCUUGAUGGGCAUGUUGAGGAGUUUGUUCGAAAUUCUAGGUUGUUGCCUUUAUGUAACAUCAGGUAUGAGACAAUGGACAAAGGCUUGUUAUCAUCAUUUGUGGAGAGGUGACAUAGAGACACAAACACAUUUCAUAUCUCCAUUGGUGAAAUGACGAUAACACUGGAUGAUGUUGAUGCAUUACUUCAUCUUCUGAUUAAGGGACAGUUUUGUCCAUUUGUCACUUUGGAGUUUGUUGUCGCUGUACCAGUCUUGGUGGACUUGUUAGGUGCGAAAAGGUCAAAUGUCACCUUAGAAAUGAGGCAUUGUCGGGGGCCACUUGUUAGUUUGGUGAUGCUUGCUUUGCCCACACAAAACGAUUAGGAGGUUAUGCAACACUUUUACAAGUACUUUGUAUAGAGAUUGCAUUUAUAUUUAAUUUCUAAGUUAUUCGAAUGAUGUGAUGUUCAUUUUCAUU